ACAUAGGUGAAAUCAAGGAAAUGCAUGAGCGAAAUUUGAAGAAGGGUGACGCUGCGAAACGUACUUAUCAGGUGCUCCUUGAUUCUGAUUGGAGCUCCAUGUGUGUGAAGGAUGAUGAAGCUCUUUGUUUGGAUUCAACGACCUUUGGAAACAUUGCUAGGUUUAUCAACCAUAGAGAUCAGGGUGAGGUGCUAGCUGAAGCUCUAAAGAUGAUGCUGUGCAAUGAUAGGCACUCACUUGACAUGCAGAAGGCUGCAGCGUUCAUAAAGCGUUUAGCCACAUUCUUGUUAUGCUUUGAGUCUGCAAAGUCCAUGGCUGCCUUGGUCACUUUAAAGCAUCUCCUAUUAAAUGCCGGUUUUUGUUGGAAAAUGAUCCUGGAGGUGGCUCAGUAUCAGGUUCUGUUGCAGUAAGCAAUUUACUGCUUCCAUGCAGAACCCUUAAUUGAUGCAUGAUAUGUUGGAUUUAAAAUGGAGAUGAAGGAAGUAAGGCUGAAAAGAGAAGUGUCUCCUUUCUCCGUGAUGCAAUUUUGGGUGCAUAAGAGAGAUGAACACAUGCUGUCAAGGUCCAGAAGGUUCUAAAAUUCCACCAAUGGAAAAGUCUCAAAAUGCUUUAACUAUUGGUCCAUCAUUACGACUUCAAGGAUUGUUAGUACCGUUCUUCUCUUUCAAACGGCCAUCCCUUGGUCAAGAGAAUCAAGUCAAAGUUCUCAACAAACUUGCUUCAGCUCGAGCUUCAGGAGCAGGUAGUAGCAGCAGAGUCUUGACAGAUUUGGUAGAGGGUCUAGAAGAAGCAGCUGUUGCUGUAGAAUUGAGGUUGAAGAUCAACCAGAGUCAUCCG